rnacentral:rRNA from 1 species
CAGUAGCCACGGUAAAACGUAGGUGGCAAGCGUUGUCUGGAAUUAUUGGGCGUAAAGGGCUCGCAGGCGGUUUCUUAAGUCCGAUGUGAAAGCCCCCGGCUCAACCGGGGAGGGUCAUUGGAAACUGGGGAACUUGAGUGCAGAAGAGGAGAGUGGAAUUCCACGUGUAGCGGUGAAAUGCGUAGAGAUGUGGAGGAACACCAGUGGCGAAGGCGACUCUCUGGUCUGUAACUGACGCUGAGGAGCGAAAGCGUGGGGAGCGAACAGGAUUAGAUACCCCUGUAGUCCCUGUCUCUUAUAC